UACGAGAUGCUCAGGAGUCUCGUGGGCUCGGAGAUGUGUAUAAGAGACAGGGUGUCCCUAGGUGAAUAGCCUAAGGCGUGUUAGCAUAAUCGUGGCGAGGGAACUCGGCAAAUUAGCCCCGUAACUUCGGGAGAAGGGGUGCCAGCAGUGAGAGCUGCUGGUCGCAGUGACAAGAGAACUCCGACUGUUUAAUAAAAACAUAGGUCUCUGCUAGUUCGAAAGGAUGUGUAUAGAGGCCGAAGCCUGCCCAGUGUCGGCAUCUGAAAAUCUGUUUCAACGGAUCGAAGGACCGAUAAACGGCGGGGGUAACUAUGACCCUCUUAAGGUAGCGUAAUACCUUGUCGCUUAAUUGGCGACUUGCAUGAAGGCUCAACGAGAGUUCUACUGUCCCCGCCAUGACGCUAGUGAAAACAAUCAGUCUGGUGCACAAUCCAGACCCCUCCAUCUGAAAGCGAAGACCCCAUGGAGUUUCACUGCAACCUGUUGUUGUUGUAAGAAUUGGCAUGUGUAGGGUAGGCGGGAGACGUUACCCAGGAAGGUGCGCUAGCAUCUCUCCGAGUCACCGAUGAAACACCGCCCUUGCAAGUUUUUACGACUCACCUCUCCGGAGGAACAGCUAUAGGCAGGCAGUUCGGGUGGGGCGCCACGCCCUCAAAAAGAUAACAAGGGUGCCCAAAGGUUGGCUCAGGUAGGUCAGAAAUCUACCGAAGAAUGUAAGGGUAUAAGCCAGCUUGACUCGGAUCCAGACAAUAGGGAUCGGAGAUAGGAAACUAAGGCCUAACGAACCAAUCAACCUCCUGAAUGGGGGUGAUUGAUGUCAGAAAAAUUACCCUGGGGAUAAUUGAGUUGUCACGAGCAAGAGUUCACAUCGACCUCGUGGCUUGCUACUUCGCUGUCGGCUCUCCCUAUCCUGGUGGUGCAGCAGCUGCCAAGGGUGGGGUUGUUCGCCCAUUAAAGGGGAACGUGAGCUGGGUUUAGACCGUCGUGAGACAGGUUGGUUGCUAUCUAAUGGAUGUGUUAGUAGUCUGAGGGGAAGGUGGCUCCAGUACGAGAGGAACGAGUUGUCGGCGCCUCUGGUCGACCGGUUGUCUGAUAAGGCAGUGCCGGGCAGCUACGCGCUAGGUGAUAAAGGCUGAAAGCAUCUAAGCCUGAGGUAUCCCCUGAAAAUAGAUUGCUUAGGACGCGAGUAGAAGACUUGUUUGAUGGGGUAGGGAUGUAAGCUUCGAGGUUUUUUUUCCGAGUUGUUUAGUCCGCUACUUCCAAUUGUUCGCUUGCAUGAUU
rnacentral:rRNA from 1 species